rnacentral:lncRNA from 1 species
UUGAUAUUUGGGCCGCCAGCUAGUAAACAAAAUAGAUCAACUAAAAACAAAUUUUGAGUUAAUUGGCGCCUCAUAUAAGCACAACAUUAAUCCUCACAUUGCAUCAGCCACACAACGGAAGAAUGUCAUGAUAUGAAUUUAUUCUGCCGUGGUAACCCUAAUUUGAGCAUAGAGAGGAUCUCAACAUCUGGAGAGGUAAAGGUAAGAUUAGAUACAGAUGUGGAAUCAUGGACAAAUCGUUCAGCUCAAAAUUACAACCUCUCAUAAAAUCACGAGGCAUACUUAUCUACCAUAUUAUUUCAUCAAAUAACUAAACAAACCAAAACCUAGCACACCAUGUAGAUCAAGGUCGAUGCCAAAAAGAAAUGUCAUGGCUACCAUUUAUUUCCUCUUCCUCUUCAAUCUAGUGCCGGAGUCGGUACCUGCUAUGCUGUAGCACUCAAAAGGUUAAGAAAAUUUGAUGACCAUGGGCCCAUGGUAUUGGAAAUUAAAGUGAAGAAAAUCAUCCACUAUGAUAUAUGAACUACUCCCUCCAUCCCAAAAUAAGUGCAAGUGAUUUAGUACAACUUUGUACUGAAGUUAUACUAAAUCACCUACACUUAUUUUGAGAUGAAGCGAGUAUAACAUACAUUCUUAGCUCCAAAUCAUCGCACCAUGCUUGCCUUCCAAUUUGGUUGGAGCACUUUAAUGACAUUAUUAGCUCCAAACACAAAAGCAACAUUUUGUUAAGUACUGCAGGUAUCUACAUGGCCCUCAUUAACGAACUAAUCACCACCAAUUUCAACUUCACCAGUGUCCUACAGUGCUUGUCUAAAACGGUAUUUGACGCUCAAAAGCUUAAAAAACAAUGGAUCAAGCAAUCUACACUUCAGUCAAGUUUUCUUAACAGAAUUAAACCCUAAAUCUUGCAGAAAAGAAGAAGAUUGCCAAGACAUGGGAACUCAUCCUGUAACUCCACGUAAUAUACCGCUUGGCAUGAGUGGUUCGCAAUCUCCAAAAAAGAAAACUCCACGUAAUAUAGUACUUUCAGCAAUACUUUGCUCAGCAACACAAACAUCUAUUCUUAGGAAUUAGUUGUGCAUAUAUACUCUCAACAAAGGGACAAACACUUGCACAAAUCAGUUGUGUGUAUAAAUACUUUCUGGAGUAAUACGUAGAUACUUUAAAAAAAUCCUUAAAAAAUAGCGAUAGAAACAAACCUUGGUUCACAUCUAUGAGAGUCACGUAAAGGAUAAAAACAUCGGCAUCACUUGAUCAACGCAAAAAUUAAUUCCAAGAUGGUCCAAAUGAGGCAUAAAUCUCACACAACUGGAAUCAUAUCCAUGAUCACUUGGACAAUUUCAUGCAAACAGGUGAUUAGAAAAAUCACAUAAUAUUUAUAUGAAUCCAAACAUGAAUUCUAAAAUCACAUAGCUAUGAAUAUUCGUAAUUUUAGUACCCGUUCUUGGCCAUCCUCCUAAAGAUCUUCUCACACGGGAUUUAAAACUGAACUCACCUUUCCAUCAAUGAAACAGAGGUAAAAAGAAACUAUCCAAUAACAAGAACACCGCUGCCAUCCCAACUGGAACCCGCCCAGGAAGUUUUCCUAUCCAGACUAAGGAAACCAGGAAAGAUAAAUAAAUGGCGGCCGAGGAAAUCAAAGGAAAACAACAUGGAACCCUAACACUUCUUUUUUUGAUAUGGAACCCUAACACAUAUAUAGAUGAACCAAGUGAAAAGAGUAGUACCGCAGCUCCACGCCGAGCAGAACUAACAGAAAGGGGACAGCCGAGCUG